UACGAGGGGUGCAAGCGUUAUUCGGAUUCAUUGGGCGUAAAGGGUACGUAGGCGGCAAGCUAAGUCAACUGUUAAAUCUUCCGGCCCAACUGGAAGCUUGCGGUAGAUACUGGUUUGCUAGAGGAUGAGAGAGAGAAGUGGAAUUCUCGGAGUAGCGGUAAAAUGCGUGGAUCUCGAGAGGAACACCGAUGGCGAAGGCAGCUUCUUGGCUCAUUCCUGACGCUGAGGUACGAAAGCGUGGGGAGCAAACAGGAUUAGAUACCCGCGUA
rnacentral:rRNA from 1 species